GAUGAACGCUGGCGGCGUGCCUAAUACAUGCAAGUCGAGCGAACGGACGAGAAGCUUGCUUCUCUGAUGUUAGCGGCGGACGGGUGAGUAACACGUGGAUAACCUACCUAUAAGACUGGGAUAACUUCGGGAAACCGGAGCUAAUACCGGAUAAUAUUUUGAACCGCAUGGUUCAAAAGUGAAAGACGGUCUUGCUGUCACUUAUAGAUGGAUCCGCGCUGCAUUAGCUAGUUGGUAAGGUAACGGCUUACCAAGGCAACGAUGCAUAGCCGACCUGAGAGGGUGAUCGGCCACACUGGAACUGAGACGCGGUCCAGACUCCUACGGGAGGCAGCAGUAGGGAAUCUUCCGCAAUGGGCGAAAGCCUGACGGAGCAACGCCGCGUGAGUGAUGAAGGUCUUCGGAUCGUAAAACUCUGUAUUAGGGAAGAACAUAUGUGUAAGUAACUGUGCACAUCUUGACGGUACCUAAUCAGAAAGCCACGGCUAACUACGUG
rnacentral:rRNA from 1 species